UACGGGAGGCAGCAGUGGGGAAUAUUGCACAAUGGGCGAAAGCCUGAUGCAGCUAUGCCGCGUGUAUGAAGAAGGCCUUAGGGUUGUAAAGUACUUUCAUCGGGGAGGAAAAAACAAAACUAAUAAUUUUAUUUCUUGACGUUACCCGAAAAAGAAGCACCGGCUAACUCCGUGCCAGCAGCCGCGGUAAUACGGAGGGUGCUAGCGUUAAUCAGAAUUACUGGGCGUAAAGAGCACGUAGGUGGUUUUUUUAAGUCAGAUGUGAAUCCCUGGGCUUAACCUGGAACUGCAUUUUGAAACUGAAAUACUAGAGUAUCGUAGAGGGAGGUAGAAUUCUAGGUGUAGCGGUGAAAUGCGUAGAUAUCUGGAGGAAUACCUGUGGCGAAAGCGGCCUCCUAAACGAAUACUGACACUGAGGUGCGAAAGCGUGGGGAGCGAAACAGGGAUUAGAUACC
rnacentral:rRNA from 1 species